GCUGGGCGUGGUGGUGGGCGCCUGUAAUCCCAGCUACUAGGGAGGCUGAGGCAGGAGAAUCACUUGAACCCAGGAGGCUGAGGUUGCAGUGAGCCGAGAUCACGCCACUGCACUCCAGCCUGGGUAAUAGAGUGAGACGCCAUCUCAA
ensembl:misc_RNA Metazoa_SRP Metazoan signal recognition particle RNA